CCUACGGGCGGCAGCAGUCGAGAAUCAUUCACAAUGGGGGAAACCCUGAUGGUGCGACGCCGCGUGGGGGAAUGAAGGUCUUCGGAUUGUAAACCCCUGUCAUGUGGGAGCAAAUUAAAAAGAUAGUACCACAAGAGGAAGAGACGUCUAACUCAGUGCCAGCAGCCGCGGGAAUACAGCGGUCUCAAGCGUUGUUCGGAAUCACUGGGCGUAAAGCGUGCGUAGGCUGUUUCGUAAGUCGUGUGUGAAAGGCGCGGGCUCAACCCGCGGACGGCACAUGAUACUGCGAGACUAGAGUAAUGGAGGGGGAACCGGAAUUCUCGGUGUAGCAGUGAAAUGCGUAGAUAUCGAGAGGAACACUCGUGGCGAAGGCGGGUUCCUGGACAUUAACUGACGCUGAGGCACGAAGGCCAGGGGAGCGAAAGGGAUUAGAUACCCCUGUAGUC
rnacentral:rRNA from 1 species